CGGUGUGAACAGGUUACAUGUGGAGCAGUGUGAUAGUGGAAUAUGCUGCAUCACCUGUGACCUCCCUCCACCGC
rfam:Ornithorhynchus anatinus chromosome X1, whole genome shotgun sequence.